rnacentral:lncRNA from 1 species
UAUGCCAGAUCCGCUACAAAUAUAGGGAGUCCACUGUUCACACGGACAGAGUCUUUCCUGUAUUUGCACGGCGCCACACAAGUACAAGAUAUAUAAUGCAAGAUACAACCACCACAUAUGAAUAUCCACGCAUCCAUACACCAUUCACAUUCACAUUCCAUACAUAACAAUUAUCCAUGAUUCCACAUCUAUCAGUUUAAAAUAUUUCCUAUCCGAAAACUCGUUUUGAAAUACUAAUAACCAGGAAAACCAGAAAUUUCUUUUAAAAACUGUUUCCCACACGGAAAUCUUUUUUCUUUAAAACUUGCUACCAUGAGGAGUAGAAAAUCAUUCCAGUUUGCAAGAAUUACACAUCCUUUAUUACAUUUGUGAAAUCCCAAUUAUUCAAUUAUCAUGAAAUACUGAACCAUAAAUGCAUUCUAAGUCAUUAUUUACGAAAAGCAGGUCAAGAGUUUAAACCGAAUGAACGGGUCCGGAAG